rnacentral:rRNA from 1 species
GAGCUCCUCGGGGCGCAGCAGUGGGGGAUAUUGCACAAUGGGGGAAACCCUGAUGCAGCGACGCCGCGUGGGUGAAGAAGCGCCUCGGCGCGUAAAGCCCUGUCAGCAGGGAAGAAAAUGACGGUACCUGAAGAAGAAGCCCCGGCUAACUACGUGCCAGCAGCCGCGGUAAUACGUAGGGGGCAAGCGUUAUCCGGAUUUACUGGGUGUAAAGGGGGCGCAGACGGCGAUGCAAGCCAGGAGUGAAAGCCCGGGGCCCAACCCCGGGACUGCUCUUGGAACUGCGUGGCUAGAGGGCAGGAGGG